rnacentral:rRNA from 1 species
UACGUAGGGUGCAAGCGUUGUCCGGAAUUAUUGGGCGUAAAGAGCUCGUAGGCGGUCUGUUGCGUCAGCUGUGAAAACCCGCAGCUCAACUGUGGGCUUGCAGCUGAUACGGGCAGGCUUGAGUUCGGUAGGGGGAGACUGGAAUUCCUGGUGUAGCGGUGAAAUGCGCAGAUAUCAGGAGGAACACCGGUGGCGAAGGCGGGGUCUCUGGGCCGAUACUGACGCUGAGGAGCGAAAAGCGUGGGGGAGCGAACAGG